rnacentral:tRNA from 1 species
UCCCUGGUGGUCCAGUGGUUAAGGCUCUGAGCUCCCAAUGCAGGAGGCGCAGGGUAGAUUCCUGCUCAGGGGA